AUUGAACGCUGGCGGCAGGCCUAACACAUGCAAGUCGAGCGAGCGGCGGACGGGUGAGUAAUGUAUGUGUACUGCUCGUUAGAGGGGGAUAACUACUGGAAACGGUAGCUAAUACCGCAUACUAUCGGAUAACCCAUAUGGGAUUAGCUAGUAGGUGAGGUAAUGGCUCACCUAGGCGACGGUCACUAGCUGGUCUGAGAGGAUGAUCAGCCACACUGGAACUGAGACACGGCCCAGACUCCUACGGAGGCAGCAGUGGGGAAUAUUGGACAAUGGGGGAAAGCCUGAUCCAGCCAUCCCGCGUGUGUGAAGAAGGCCUUCGGGUUGUAAAGUACUUUUGGCUGAGAGGCGGUAUCUGCAGAAUAAGCACCGGCUAACUACGUGCCAGCAGCCGCGGUAAUAC
rnacentral:rRNA from 1 species